GAUGAACGCUGGCGGCGUGCCUAAUACAUGCAAGUCGAGCGAACAGACGAGGAGCUUGCUCCUUCGACGUUAGCGGCGGACGGGUGAGUAACACGUAGGUAACCUACCUAUAAGACUGGGAUAACUUCGGGAAACCGGAGCUAAUACCGGAUAAUAUUUCGAACCGCAUGGUUCGAUAGUGAAAGAUGGCUUUGCUAUCACUUAUAGAUGGACCUGCGCCGUAUUAGCUAGUUGGUAAGGUAACGGCUUACCAAGGCAACGAUACGUAGCCGACCUGAGAGGGUGAUCGGCCACACUGGAACUGAGACACGGUCCAGACUCCUACGGGAGGCAGCAGUAGGGAAUCUUCCGCAGUGGGCGAAAGCCUGACGGAGCAACGCCGCGUGAGUGAUGAAGGUCUUCGGAUCGUAAAACUCUGUUAUUAGGGAAGAACAAACGUGUAAGUAACUGUGCACGUCUUGACGGUACCUAAUCAGAAAGCCACGGCUAACUACGUG
rnacentral:rRNA from 1 species